AAGAAUUUAGUUAAACCAAUAACGUUAGAAUGUCAUUCUAAAUUUACUUAAGUAUUUCUUU
rnacentral:tRNA from 1 species